UAUUCAGCUGAAAAAGUUAUGAACAUAAAAGGUAGAACUCAUUAAGACAUACAACUUUUAUUUUGGUUAUUUCUUCAUCCGAUAAAGUGAUAGUAACAUUGUUCACAAAGUUUACAUAUCUCUCAUUUGGUUUUAUAAACUAUAAGAGAGAUAUGUACAUUUUGUAAACAAUAUUACUAUCGUUUUGUCGGAUGAAGAAAUAACCAAAACAAAAGUUAUAGAUAUCGAUGAGUUAUACAAAUUUGUUGUUGAUGACUUUUUCAGUUGAAAUC
rnacentral:pre_miRNA from 1 species